rnacentral:rRNA from 1 species
UACGGGAGGGGGCUAGCGUUGUUCGGAAUUACUGGGCGUAAAGCGCACGUAGGCGGCUUUGUAAGUUAGAGGUGAAAGCCCGGGGCUCAACUCCGGAAUUGCCUUUAAGACUGCAUCGCUAGAAUUGUGGAGAGGUAAGUGGAAUUCCGAGUGUAGAGGUGAAAUUCGUAGAUAUUCGGAAGAACACCAGUGGCGAAGGCGACUUACUGGACACAUAUUGACGCUGAGGUGCGAAAGCGUGGGGAGCAAACAGG